rnacentral:rRNA from 1 species
CCUACGGGUGGCAGCAGUUAGGAAUUUUGCGCAAUGGGGGAAACCCUGACGCAGCAACGCCGCGUGAGUGAUGAAGGCCUUCGGGUUGUAAAGCUCUUUUAGCAGGAACGAAUACAAUGACGGUACCUGCAGAAAAAGCACCGGCUAACUCCGUGCCAGCAGCCGCGGUAAUACGGAGGGUGCAAGCGUUAUUCGGAUUGACUGGGCGUAAAGCGCAUGUAGGUGGUUUGCUAAGUCUGGUGUGAAAUCCCUGAACUCAAUUUAGGAAGUGCACUGGAUACUGGCGGACUGGAGUAUCGGAGAGGAGAGCGGAAUUCCUGGUGUAGAGGUGAAAUUCGUAGAUAUCAGGAGGAACAACGGAGGCGAAGGCGGCUUUCUGGACGAUAACUGACGCUGAGAUGCGAAAGCGUGGGGAGCAAACAGGAUUAGAUACCCGAGUAGUC